GGCAAUGCCUCCCAGGCUUGGGAGCUGGGAAAAGGCCCCAGGAGCUAGGGCAUCCUGAUUGUUCUUUCAAAGAAAUCCCUCUUGUUCUUAGUCAACAUGCUGGAUACCAGCUAAAAAAUGCAAAAUGAUCUUCAGGCAGGGAUGGCACAGGACCCUUGCUGAGCUGUGAAGCCUGGCUGUGAGGAUUCCUGCAUGGAAACAUCAACAUGUUGCCAGAUUGGUAUACGACUCAACACCACACUGAUUCUCCGGAGAAAAAGGCUGGCUCGCAAGAGGAUGCCAGAAGAGUGACAUCUCCCUCAUCAGCGCUUUGCCUCUUAAGAGAUCCAGGGAGAAGUGAGAGCUUGUGUUGGUUCAGAGCCUCAGAAAUACGGCCAACAUUGCUCUGAGGAACUAGCUCCUAUCAGUCUGCAGCUCUGUCCUGGGCACAUCAGGAUUAGUCUCAUGCUUUGUCAUUGCACGCAUCACAGGUUGGCUGCGUCGGCUCCCAUCAUAUGCCAUCAACAAUGUCAACACUUGACAUGCUGCUCCCAAACAGUGCCUUUGAAUCAAGACCCAGUCAUCGUAUUCGAAGAAAAAGGAAAUAUCCCUGACCAUGUUGGGACUUAACACUGCUUCACAGAGCUACCCAAACCAAGGAGAAUACCAACGUGAAUUGUCUUUCCACCUGUUGUGUGGGGCCAGCAAUUAUUCUUUUAGCUUGACGCGUUAACCCACCUGCUCCCUGUGGCCCUGGGAUGCUCUGCCAUCCCCCGUGGCUGCCAGUUCACUUAGGGUAGACUUAUGGCAGAGGGAUGUCAAUUUUGCUUGAACUGCUCAAUCACUGCUGACAUUUCGUUAACCACCCUAUGAACUUCUCAAGCCUGAAGUAGCAGCAACUUGUGCCCUUGAAAACUGAACAGAAAACAACUGUAUUGAUUUUCUACUAUCAACAAGAAAAAGACAAUUUCUCUUUGCUGAGAAUGUUCAUAAUGCAUUUUACACCACUUAUUCUCGGCAGUCCACCUCUUCCUGAUAUAUUGUUGGGCCUCUUUAAACCCCUGCUGCUUUAGACUCUGCUAGAAUUAACCCUGAAAUGCCAGCACCAUCUCAAGCCCUUCCAGUUCCCGGAUAGAAAUGUUCAUCAGUGCUGAAUUGACAGCCUACUUAGGCAAGGGAGCUGUGAUCAUUUAGAAAUUACAAAGGAACUCAGGCCUGGGUGAAGGGUUUGGGGUUGGGACACUAGGAAUCUCUUUUAGUAAAAUUCUCUUUUAAAAGAA
rnacentral:lncRNA from 1 species